rnacentral:lncRNA from 1 species
AUGAAUAAUUACAUUAGAUGUAUGUUUCAUUAUAAUAUUUUAUUCUGAUUGGCUAACUGCACAUCACGUGUUAUUCCGUAAGCAGUUGCAUUGCUCAAUACAACUUUUCAUUCAUGAUAACACGUGCUCCAACAAUAAAGUGCACAGGUGAAUUAAAUAAUAAAAUAUAUAAAAUUCGUGUUUUCAUAAUCAUAGCUAAAAAAUGUAAUUAUAAGUAUUGAAUGCUUCUUUUUGUAACUUUAUAGGGUUGCAAAAGCG